CACGUAGGGGGCAAGCGUUGUCCGGAUUUAUUGGGCGUAAAGAGCUCGUAGGCGGCUUAGUAAGUCGGGUGUGAAACCUCCAGGCUCAACCUGGAGACGCCACCCGAUACUGCUGUGGCUAGAGUCCGGUAGGGGAGCGUGGAAUUCCUGGUGUAGCGGUGAAAUGCGCAGAUAUCAGGAGGAACACCAGCGGCGAAGGCGGCGCUCUGGGCCGGUACUGACGCUGAGGAGCGAAAGCGCGGGGAGCGAACGGG
rnacentral:rRNA from 1 species